rnacentral:sRNA from 1 species
UGCCUAAACCUCGCUUUGCGGGGCAUGGCAAUAAAACCUUGUCAGGAAAAAGCUCCUCGUCUGGAGCACCUGACAAGGUCAUAUCCCGAAAGGGGUAUGGGUAGCGAAAGCUAUC